rnacentral:rRNA from 1 species
CAGUCGCCGCGGUAAUACGGAGGAUCCAAGCGUUAUCCGGAAUCAUUGGGUUUAAAGGGUCCGUAGGCGGUCUUGUAAGUCAGUGGUGAAAGCCCAUCGCUCAACGGUGGAACGGCCAUUGAUACUGCAGGACUUGAAUUAUUGGGAAGUAACUAGAAUAUGUAGUGUAGCGGUGAAAUGCUUAGAGAUUACAUGGAAUACCAAUUGCGAAGGCAGGUUACUACCAAUUGAUUGACGCUGAUGGACGAAAGCGUGGGGAGCAAACAGGAUUAGAUACCCGGGUAGUCCCUGUCUCUUAUAC